rnacentral:snRNA from 1 species
GGCUUUUAAUGCAGUCUAGCUGUGGCAUCUGUGACUAGGUUGAUUGCCAGGACUGACCUGGCAUCUGAGCCUACAGUUCCCUUUCUCUGAGAGCUCCGUGUGUGUUCUUCCCAAAGUGUCAACUCAAUCAAAAAGAAUGACAUUUCCAAAUUGACAUAGUCUAUUCUUAGUCAAGAUAUAUGGCGAGUAUAUUCCCUGGGCUACAUCUUUCCAACAAGCAUUGAUAUCCCUUUGUAAACAAAUGUAGGCAAGCCAAAUCUGUUUUACAAAGUGCCUCUCGCCACCUGAUAUUUUGU